rnacentral:rRNA from 2 species
AAUCAAGUGCCUUAAGGGUGUUCGGUGGAUGCCUUGGCGCUGAGAGGCGAUGAAGGACGUGCUACGCUGCGAUAAGCCGUGGGGAGCUGCGAAGAAGCUUUGAUCCAUGGAUUUCCGAAUGGGGAAACCCACCUUCGAUAGCCGGAACUCCAAGACCUCAGUCGAAAGACUGUGGUGUGGGGUUCGAACAGAAAUGUGAGAUGCCUAGGCCUAUUAGAUUUCGAUCGAAGAGGUUUUGGAUUUCCGGUUAUCAAAAGAAGGUAUGAGACUUCUGAAUACAUAGGAGGUUUCAAGCAAACCCAGGGAACUGAAACAUCUAAGUACCUGGAGGAAAGGACAUCAACAGAGACUCCGUUAGUAGUGGCGAGCGAACGCGGACCAGGCC